UACGUAGGGUGCGAGCGUUAAUCGGAAUUACUGGGCGUAAAGCGUGCGCAGGCGGUUUGUUAAGUCCGCUGUGAAAUCCCCCGGGCUCAACCUGGGAAUGGCGGUGGAAACUGGCGAGCUAGAGUGUGUCAGAGGGGGGGUGGAAUUCCACGUGUAGCAGUGAAAUGCGUAGAGAUGUGGAGGAACACCAAUGGCGAAGGCAGCCCCCUGGGAUAACACUGACGCUCAGGCACGAAAGCGUGGGGAGCAAACAGG
rnacentral:rRNA from 1 species